rfam:Jeotgalibacillus campisalis strain SF-57 contig00006, whole genome shotgun sequence.
AGUAUAUAACCAUUUGUACCGCAGACAGCAGGUGUCCAUUGGGCUUAAUUCCCUGCCGAGGUCAUGACGAUAAAAGAAUUUUCUUUUUAUUGAAAUGAUACGCCUCAAUGUCUGCAGCAGACAUUGAGGCUUUUUGAAUGUUCGA